rnacentral:rRNA from 1 species
AAUGUUAGUGGAGACACUUUCAUCCUUUCGGGGCGUAGGACACAGGUGCUGCAUGGCUGUCGUCAGCUCGUGUCGUGAGAUGUUGGGUUAAGUCCCGCAACGAGCGCAACCCUCGCCUUUAGUUGCCAUCAUUUAGUUGGGCACUCUAAAGGGACUGCCAGUGAUAAGCUGGAGGAAGGUGGGGAUGACGUCAAGUCCUCAUGGCCCUUACGGGCUGGGCUACACACGUGCUACAAUGGUGGUGACAGUGGGCAGCGAGAUCGCGAGGUCGAG